rnacentral:misc_RNA from 1 species
GGAUGUAAAAGUCGUAACAAAGUCUCCGUUGGUGAACCAGCGGAGGGAUCAUUACCGAGUUUACAACUCCCAAACCCCUGUGAACAUACCUAUCGUUGCCUCGGCGGUGCCCGCUCCGGCGGCCCGCCAGAGGACCCCCAAACUCUUGUUUUAUACAGUAUCUUCUGAGUAACACGAUUAAAUAAAUCAAAACUUUCAACAACGGAUCUCUUGGUUCUG